UCAGUAACACGUAGUCAACAUGCCCAGGGGACGUGGAUAACCUCGGGAAACUGAGGAUAAACCGCGAUAGGUCAUCACUUCUGGAAUGGGUAAUGACUUAAAUCUAUAUGGCCCCUGGAUUGGACUGCGGCCGAUCAGGCUGUUGGUGAGGUAAUGGCCCACCAAACCUGUAACCGGUACGGGCUCUGAGAGGAGGAGCCCGGAGAUGGGCACUGAGACAAGGGCCCAGGCCCUAUGGGGCGCAGCAGGCGCGAAACCUCUGCAAUAGGCGAAAGCUUGACAGGGUUACUCUGAGUGAUUUCCGUUAAGGAGAUCUCCUGGCACCUCUAAAAAUGGUGCAGAAUAAGGGGUGGGCAAGUCUGGUGUCAGCCGCCGCGGUAAUACCAGCACCCCGAGUGGUCGGGACGUUUAUUGGGCCUAAAGCAUUAGUAGCCGGUUCUACAAGUCUUCCGUUAAAUCCACCUGCUAACAGAUGGGCUGCGGAAGAUACUAUGGAGCUAGGAGGCGGGAGAGGCAAGCGGUACUCGAUGGGUAGGGGUAAAAUCCGUUGAUCCAUUGAAGACCACCAGUGGCGAAGGCGGCUUGCCAGAACGCGCUCGACGGUGA
rnacentral:rRNA from 1 species